AGAUCCCUUCGGGGUGACGUUAUCGUAACUUAGUGGCGAACGGGUGAGUAACACGUGAGUAACCUGCCUUUCAGAGGGGGACAACAGUUGGAAACGACUGCUAAUACCGCAUAAGACCACAGAGCGGCAUCGCUCAGGGGUCAAAGGAGCAAUCCGCUGAAAGAUGGACUCGCGUCCAAUUAGCUGGUUGGUGAGGUAACGGCCCACCAAGGCGACGAUUGGUAGCCGGACUGAGAGGUUGAACGGCCACAUUGGGACUGAGACACGGCCCAGACUCC
rnacentral:rRNA from 1 species